rnacentral:lncRNA from 1 species
GGGGACCGGCCCCUGCCUGAUGCCCACCCCUCGGCCAGGUCCUUUAGAGCCAGAAAGAAGAGCUUGUCUUCAAGGGAGGCUCCAUAAGGGUAUUUCCGAUGUAAUUGGGGUUGGCAUGCGGGCAGCUGGGCCUAAUAAAUAGAAACACCCAUUCGGCCUCAUUCAGCUGUCCCUGUGAGCCCCACCGAGCAGGAAAGACUCUCCGGCUUGGCGCUGAGCUGGCUCCUAUCUUAAAAAUUCAUCUAAUGCAAAUGGUUACAUUAAUGCAAAAGGCAAGUCACUGACACUAUAAAUAACUUGAGCUGAGUCCUGCCGACAGUGGGACGUCUGACACCGAACUGCUGCACGGUCCCCAGUGCUGAACGAGAGUGACACAGCCUCAACCAUCACCAAUUCCAGAGCAGAGGCCGGAGAGCGGAGAAGAUCUGAAAGCGCCAUGUGUCGGCUUUGAAGAUGGGGGCAAGGGCCACCAGGCAAGGAGCGCAGGUGCCGCUGGAAACUGGAAAAGGCAGGGGAUGCUUUUCCCUCCUGAGAGUCUGCAGAAGGCACACGAGCCUGCCCCCACCCCGGCCGAGGUCAGCCCCGUGAGACAAGUUCUGCCUUCCGACCUCCAGAACUGUAAGUUAGUAAACUUGUGUCCUUUUAAGCUGCUCCGUUUGUGCAAUUUGUUGCAGCAGCAGCAGGAAACUCAUUCUGCAGGCAAUUGCCUUAAAAUGCUUCUAAAUAGAACCCUUUCUUCAUCACACCCUUCCUUCCUGUUGGCUUUGUUUCUGGAGCAGGGUGUGGAGGUUUAAGAGGGGGUAAGGGUUACCUCGGCAUCUGCCACCCACCCACCAUCUGUUUGGAAGUCGUACUGUUUGGAAAAACUAUCAACAUCAAGUUGUUGUUGGGGUUUUUUUUUUUUUUUUUUGGUUUUUUGGGUUUUUUUUUAUUGGGGCAGGGGGUUAGUAUGUAUUUCCUAACGCUUUCACAUUUAAAAAUGGUUCUGGAGUUCCCAUCGUGGCCCAGCAGUAACGAACCUGACCAGUAUCCAUGAGGACGCAGGUUCGAUCCCUGGCCUUGCUCAGUGGGUCGGGGAUCCAGUGUUGCUGGGAGCUGUGGUGUGGGUCAAAGAUGUGACUCGGAUCCCAUGAUGCUGUGGCUGUGGUGUAGGCUGGCAGCUGCAGCUCCGAUUCGACUCCUCGCUUGGGACAUGCUGUAUGCCGUAGGUGGGGCCCUAAAAAGACAAAAAAAGUUCUGCAUGAAGUCUGUCCCCCAUUUUUCCACCCCCAUCCCCAAUUUGGCUGCUGCCUCUGGUGAAACCCUAACUUCUCACCUCUGGUCCCCAGCAAGGGCAUUUUUCGCAUGUGGAAGGUGAUAACCUUUGUAAGUCACGUGGAGUCGAGCCUGAGGCAGCCUGGGCUGCAGGAGUCUGGCUCAGCAAUUUUGGCAUCCCAUGGCCUCCUUCAAUAUUACAGACAAAUCUGAGGAUCUUAUUUAAAUACAGAUUUGAUUCAGUGGGUCUGGGGUGGUGCUGAGAUUCUGCCUGUGGAACACGCUGCAGGGGACACCCGGCGUGUGGCAGGCGGAACCUGCUGGUCCUGCAUCACACUGAUUGGUGAGGACAAGGAAGGCAGAGGUUCAGUAUCUGAGCCGCUGGGACCACUCGCAGCCUGCCUGUGGCCUCCAGCUUUGGGAGAAUCUUGCCUCUCCAGGUAUGGUCCCCAAAGAAGCAGGAUUAGCAUAUCCUGAGCUCCUUAGAAACACUUUCUCAGAGUUCCCGUUGUGGCUCAGUGGGUUAAGAACCCAACUAGUAUCCAUGAGGACGCGGGUUCAAUCCCUGGCCUCACUCACUGGCUUAAGGAUCCGGUAUUGCUGAAAGCUGUGGCUUAGGUGACAGACACAGCUCAGAUCUAGGGUUGCCGUGGCUAUGGCCUAGGCUGGGAACUAUAGCUAGGGGUUGAAUCGGAGCUGUAGCCACCGGCCUACACCAGAGCCACAGCAACGCAGGAUCCGAGCCGCGUCUGCAACCUACACCACAGCUCAUGGCAACCCCGGAUCCUUAACCCACUGAGCAAGGGCAGGGACCGAACCCGCAACCUCAUGGUUCCUAGUCGGAUUCGUUAACCACUGCGCCACGACAGGAACUCCUACACAGGUUUGAUUUUGCAUGAGAGCCCGAGGGGCUGCGGCCCCUGCCUAGCUUCAGGGUGGGGCUGGUGGCCAGAAAGAGCGGGGCAGGAUUCAGCCCCAACCCCAUCCUUCGGGGAGAGAAGAGGGGCUGGAAAGUAAGUUCACUUCCCAGGGACCAAUUAUUGAAUGAAAUCUGCACAAAACUCCCUACGCAGUGGGGUUCUGAGAGCUUCCAGGCUGAUUGAGCGCCUCCAUGUGCUUGGAGGGUGGUGUCCCCAUACUCCAUGGGGACAGAGGCUCCCACGCUCCAGACUCUUCCAGAUCUCGUUUUACGCAUUCCCCGGGCGUUUCACGUGUGUCCUCUGUAACAGCCUCUACGCUACACCAGUAAUAACAAUAAGCCAUCUUCCUGGAUUCUGUGAGCCAUUCUAACAAAUUCUUGAAACUGAGGAGGGGCUCAUGGGAGCUCCAGAUUUAUAGCCAUUUGACGCGAAGUACAGGUGACAGCCUGGGGCGUGGGGUUGGUAUCUGCAGUGGGACCAGUCUUGCGGGACUGAGUCCUCACCUGUCCCACCUCCCCAGAGCGAGUGUCAGGGUGUCCAGAGAAUUGGAGCAUUUGCUGGUGUUGGGAAAAACCCCACACCUCUGGUGUCAGAAAUGUCGAUCGUAAAACACCUCGAGGUGGUUUCAUAUAAAUAGCAUGUGAUUUUCAUUUUAUAGAAGCUUCAUAAAAGGGAACCACAGGCGCUAGCGCCAAGCUCCGUAGGCAGCUCUCUGUCCCAGACCAGGCAUUCCACGUCUCUGGGCCUCCACUUUCUCAUCAAGAAAAUAAAGGAGUUGAAUGGGGUCCGUAAAAGUUUAUGCUUUAGAGCCAGCUUUCACUAUCGUCGGUGAAGGCGGGAGUUAAAAAUGACCGAAUCUUGGCUUUUCCAUCCUGUAUUGGUGAUACUCUUGUUAAAUUUAAGUCAGGAAUGCAACCCUCAGUUGUAAAAUGCCGCGACGGGAGAACAUCUCUUUCCCGCCCAAGUUUUAUUUAUUGUAAAAACAAUAGGAGAAAGCAGUGAAGCGGAUUUAGGAGGUGAAAAAUUCCUCCCCCUGCAACACGAUGGCUGUUUCCAUUUUGCCGUGUCGCCUGCGUUUCGGGGUCUCCUUCGGGCAGCCCACACCCGUUUGUAAUCUGCUUUGUCCCUUAGGGUGUGGGACCAACCUACCGUGUCAGCCAGGGUGGAACGCCCGUGGCGGUGACUUCACCGUAAAAAUGCCACCAGCAAUAUAUGCAUAAAUUAGCUUCACUAUGAAGUCACCGCCUCGGGCGUUUCACUCUGGCUGACCCUUGGCAGGUGUCCUGGGUUCCUCGCCGAUGUUUGAAGUUGUAAUUCUGUUCCACCCGAGAUGGUGACCAGCCUCCCCUCCCCACGUUUCUAUGCAUUUUCUGACUUUCCUUCUGUUUCAUUGAGAAAAUGCUGCAACGUACUACGCUUAAGGCCAGGCAGCCAAGAACAACGUUGGCAAGAGGAGUUUGCGCCCUUUCUGAGCCUCGUUUCCUUCUCUGGGGAUGGUGGGGCCGGGGGGAGCUGGAAGGAGGCGCUUUGGGACAAGGGUCUCGCACAGUGGCUGGCGUACAGACAACGUGGCUCUUCCUGUGUUGUUGGCCCAUCUGGCAGGGCUUGGGGACGUUGUAAGUGUAACCAGUAUCCAAUGUAGCAGUGACAUGUCCAUGCAUAUGCUUGGGGGAAAGUGGAUCUUUCCUCGUUGGCCAAGGGAGGGGGGGGGUAAAAACCUACCCGCUCACUGAGUUGGGAGGUUUAAACGAGAUCAUCCAUGCCAAACGCUUAGCCUGGAGCCUGGCACGUAGGAGAUAUUCAAUGGAUGUUAGCUUCGCAAUGUGCUCUGUCCCAUGUAUAGCCACAGAGAUGAUUAUUUUUAAUUUUAAGAAUCUUUGCCAGAUUGCUUUCCGAAAAUCUAAAGUACUGUUCAAAUUUAGAAGACUAUUCUGAACUUUGAAUUGCAAGACUUAUUUGCAUUUUAAAAGUCUCGAGCAACACAUUGUACCCAGCCUGUUCCCAAAGUGCCUGUCUCAGAAACGGAGAAAACGUUGUUGAAAUAAAGGCAUUUGCAUAGUGCCAAGCAGCAAUCACUAUAGCCAAGAAGAAAACAUCUUUUAAAAAUUCCUAUUUGUUGAUGGCAAACAAACCGUUGCACUUAUAUCAACAGAAUCUCUUUGAGGGAGUUUCAUUCAACACUACCGAAUGAUUUUCCAGGGAACUGGUAUUAACCAUGAGUGAUUUCAAAACGAAGAUAGACAGGUAGAUGAUAGGUAGAUAUGUUUUGGCUGCAUGUGGAUCGAACCCACACAACCCCGGAGACAACACCAGGUCCUUAACCCUCUGUGCCACAGUGGGAACUCCUAGUAUGUAUUUUUUUAAAAUAUGUGUGUCUGAGAAUAGGAACCCUACGGAGGAGCUUUUUCCUUUCUUAGGCACAGCAAGACAACAACGUGGUUUAUGACCUGCUAAGCAUCUUCUCCUAUAUUUCCUGGUUUGAUUUUCACCGUGGUCCAUGAGAGAGGAGAAGCAGGUUUUACAAUGCUUUUGUUAGAGACCAGGCCACUGACCUUCAAAGAGGUUCUGACUUGCUCCAGAGCCCAUGGGUGGUAGCAGAGCUGAGUGUGUCUGCGGCUUUGGGUCCAGGCUUCCGCUCCUCAGUACGGUACAACCAGAUCCACCAAACUUGCUGGUCUUGGUCAAACGCACCCCAGGUGGUGGAGAUGUGGAAAGAGCGUUUCUGAACCUCUGAACAUUAUUCUGCUCCACUUUCAAAAGACAAACAUCGCCUGUAGGACGAGAAUGUGCUUCCUGCCAUCGGGGAUGGUAAGAUGGGAGGGGCCGUGCCCGCUGGCCUGGUUCUGCUGGGGGCUCCCACUGUGGUUCAUUUGGCUGUGUCACAGCGCACACGCCUCAGUGUUCGGGGACUCGGGGAGCUCUUAAAUAAGCACAGGUGUGUUGUUAUAGAUGCUGAUGUGGCAAAGGAGCAGCACAAAGAUCCAUGCCCCGAGGGGGACCUCCAGCAGGAAAGGACAGGCGUGGGAUCCAGCAUGGUACCCUUCUGGUGGGAGCAGCAGCGAAGGCUCCAGCGGGCAGCUCACGGACCCUGGGAAGGACGCAUCCUGCUCCCUCCUCCCCCCCGGUAGAACGUCCUUUGGGCCAUGUGACCUGGUGAAUCCCUGUGAAACCAGCACUGAAGGCUCCAGAUGACUGGCAAAUGCUGUUUCAAGCGAGGUGAGACCAACAGCCUUGGUAAACACAGAUAAUUCCGAAUUCAGGGAUGUCUGAUGUCAGAGCAGACUUCAUUCCUGUCUGCAUGGGGAUGCACCGGCCUGGGAAGACACUGUUGGUCCCUCUCUGGUGUUGCUACUGCGUUUCUCCCCCUGUGUCCGUGGGGGUACCUGCUCAGCCCUCUGGAGUGUAGGUCAGAGGCCUGGGUGGGUGAUGGGGCUUGAUGGGGCUCCCCCAUUAAGGGUUGUGUGGUCUUGAGCGAGGCAGCUUGCACCCCGAGCUCUGCUUCCUUGACAGUGAAGUGGAGAUAAGAGUGUUUAUCCUUCUUACAGAGUCAGGAGGGACAAAGGUGAGGAAGUGUGUGAAAGGGCACUGAUAGUUAGAAAGAAUUAUUUUUUUUCUGCAAAUUAAAAUUUUUUUUUUCAAAAAAUGAAAACACAGCCUGUUGGUUGUAACAGGUGAAAUAGCUUAAAGAUAAAUGAAGAAAAGCUCACCAGGACCAACUUCCCAUCCUACUCUGAUGGGAUAUCCCGUCUAAGCACUUACAAGCUUUUUUUCUUUUUCUUUUUAAAUUUAUUUUAUUGAAGUAUAGUUGGUUGACAAUGUCGUGUGAAUUUCUGCUGUACAGCAGACUGACUCAGUUAUAUGUACAGUAUGUAUUACGCAUGUUCUGAUAUAUAUUGUAUAUAUAUUCUUUUAAAUAUCUUUUUCAUGAUGGUUUGUUGCAGAGUAUUGAAUGUAGUUCCCUCUGCUAUACAGUAGGACCUUGCUGUUUAUCGGUUCUCUACAUAAUAGUUUCAUGUAUUUACCAGCCUUUAUGCUGCCCAUACGGGCACAUGCACACGUAUCUUGGGGUUUCUUUUUAUUGCAAUGGAAUCACACCAAGCAAAUACCUCUACAACUUGCUUUUUCAUUUGCUGGUCUGUCACAAACACCCCUAUGAGUCUGUGGAUAUGAACUUACCUGGUCUUUGUUCCUCGAUUUCUUUAUGAACACACACAUGCAUAUAUGUACAGGUGUGUGUUUGUGUGUGUAUGUGAAUUGUGUACAGAAUUACUUAAAAAAAAAAAUCUCUUUCUCUCUCGCCCCCACUACCCCUAAUGAUGUUACCCCUCCCCUAUAAAUUCUUUGUCUGUUCCUCCAUGGUUUUGUUUUGUUUGUUUUGUCUGAGCAAGGCCAGGGAUCGAACCUGCGUCCUCAUGGAUACCACUCGGGCUCUUAACCUGCUGAGCCAUACCGGGAAUUCCCGUUCCUCCAUGUUGAUGAAACCACGCAAAAUAUUAACACAUAUAUAAUUUCUAUAAGGAUUUUUUCAAUUAUUUAUUUCAAAACUGGCUUGUAGGCAUACUUUUCUUACUCCACCCAAUAAAACCUCACAAAAAUACCUACAGCAUAACUGGUUUGGUGCAUGAUUUUUCAUGGCUAUAUAUCAUUUUAUGGACCAGAGGCAAUUUUGUGCUGAUGAAUGUUCAAUUACCAGCUGUCCCAGGGAAAACCCUGAUUGGCAGUGUUUGCGCGUAUCGGUGCCCUAAAUAUUCCCCCUCUGGGUCAUUCCAAGCUACAUACAUGCGGGUAGGAUAGAGCGGGGCUGGGAAGAGAUGUGUGCCAGGGUCUGGGGCUGGCUCCAGCGAACUACCGGGAGAAGGUUCCGCCGUGAAUCCAUCUCCUUCCCACUGAGGAGCGCUCGCUUGCUUCCAGAUUCUCCCACCCACUCCCAACAGUGACGCAUUAACACAACCUUAUAACUACGUUCCUCAAAUCGAUUCUUUUAUGUCUAUGGGCUGGAUUCCCGGAGAGUGAGAUUGUUGGCCCAGAAUGAAUGUGGAUUUUUAAACAUUUUAAGAAAUGCUGCCAGAUUGUUUUUUUUUUUUUUUUCAAAUAGCUUUCUUCAAAAAUCGUUACCAUUCACAUUUCUAGCGGUGAUGUAAGAAUACUCCUUUUCCCAAUAUCUCUGAGAGCAAUGGGUAUUAAUGUUUUUUAUAAUUUUUUUCCAGCUGGGUAGAUUUAGAGGGGCGACUCCGUCUUUAUUGUUACUUGAAUUUGGGCAUCCCUGACCGUCAUCAGCUCUGAACAGUAUUUCAUGGUCUUGGUCACCUGGAUUGACAGUUUAGCACAGAGUCUGGCUCUGAGUUGCCUGGGUUAGAAUCACAGCUCUGCCAGGCACUAGUUAUAUGACCUCAGGCAGGUUACUUAAAUCUCUGUGCCUCGGUUUCCCCAUAUGUAAACAAAGAUAGAAAUAAGACUUAUAGGACUGCUGUAAAAAUUAAAUGAAUUAACAUAGGCAAAGCCCAAAGAGCAGUGCCUAGCCUGCACAAGUACUAGAAAGAGAUGAGCUAUUGUAUUCAGUGAUAGAGCCUUUGACCACUUUUACAAAGAAGCUCGUUUGCCUUAUUGAUUUGUAAAUGUCCCUUAUAUGCUAUAGAUACUGGUCCUUGGUUAUUUAUAUUGAAAAUAUUGAAAAUAUUAUUUAUAUUGAAAAUAUUGAAAAUAUUUGAAAAUAUCUUUCCAAAUCAAUUGUUCCUCUACUGACCUCCUUUAUAUUUCUUUUGCCGUUUAAGAAAAUUUCUUUCUCUUUUUUUGUAUGUGGUCUGAUAUAUUUACUAUUCUUCUUAAAUAACUUCUGGGUUUUUUGACUUGGCUGAAAGGGGCUUCUCUCCUAGAUUUUAAGUCUCCUAGAUUUCCUUUAAAAAUAUUUUGCUUUAUUUUUGAUAUUCAAGCCGUCGAGUCAAUGGAAUUUAUUUUUGUUUAUGGCCUAAACAUUUUCUUUUGGAUGACUAAUCAGUGGUGAUAACACUAUUUAUUAAAAUUUCCUGUUGGGGAGUUCCCGUCGUGGCGCAGUGGUUAACGAAUCUGACUAGGAACCAUGAGGUUGCGGG